rnacentral:rRNA from 1 species
ACGGCUCAGUAACACGUAGUUAAUCUGCCCUUAAGUCUGGAAUAACCUCGGGAAACUGAGGCUAAUACCGGAUAAGAGAUUAGACCUGGAAAGGUAUAUCUUCUAAAGUUUCGACGCUUAAGGAGGAGACUGCGCACGAUUAGCUUGUUGGUGGGGUAACUGCCUACCAAGGCGAUGAUCGUUACGGGCUCUGAGAGGAGUUGCCCGGAGAAGGAAUCUGAGACACUAUUCCUAGCUCUACGGAGUGCAGCAGUCGCGAAUCUUUUACAAUGCACGCAAGUGUGAUAAAGCGAACCAAAGUGCUUUUCGUAUAGAAAAGCUUUUCUUCACUGUAAAAAUGUGGAGGAAUAAGGACUGGGCAAGACCGGUGCCAGCCGCCGCGGUAAUACCGGCAGUUCAAGUAGCAUCCACUUUUAUUGGGUCUAAAACAUCCGUAGCUUGUUUAUUAAGUCUCUUGUGAAAUCCUACGUCUCAAGCGUGGGGCUUGCGGGAGAUACUGAUAAGCUAGAGAUCGGUAGGCGUAAGGAGUACGCCGGAGGUAGUGGUAAAAUACGUUAAUCUUCGGUGGACUAACAAUCAGCGAAGGCACCUUACGAGGACGAAUCUGACAGUGAGGGAUGAAGGCCAGGGGCGCAAAACGGAUUAGAUACCCGUGUAGUCCUGGCAGUAAACACUGUUCACUAAACAUCGGGCCCUCUUCGGGAGGAUUCGGUGCUGAAGCGAAGGCGAAGAGUGAACUACCUGGGAAGUAUAGUCGCAAGAUCGAAACUUAAAGGAAUUGGCGGGGGAGCAC